UUUUUUUAUUUUUUAUUUCCCUUUUACUGAUUGUGCUUCCCCCCUCCCCACAAAGGCUCACGUUGUUUUGCCAAAACCCUCAUGUGAUUUGGUCCAAAACCCUUCCGUUUUCAGACACAACUCCAGCGAUCUUGUCCGCCCUAGAAGACCAUCCCGCGAAGUGCAUCUUUUUCACUGAUUGUUCGAUAUCUAUUUUCUACAUGUAAAAACUUUGCCUGAAGGUCCUCAAUUUCUCCAUCUUAACGUAGAAGUAAAGCUAUACCUCCUCCAUCCCUUCCUCCCUAGUGGUUGCAUUAGCAGGUAGACCAUUGGAAGGUUAUCCCAUCAACUCAUGAACAUCUUCUACAGUGAGAAGCAUUCGAAGACCGUGGACAUUCAAUGAAUGAGUUGAAGGAUCAAAGUUCUGUACUAACCAACAGCACAAGUCAUGAUCUAUGUGCGUGCACCUAAGGCUUAGGAUGCCAUGAAACCCCAUUUCAGUCACUGCUUCUUGUUGUGCUUUGUCCAGCCUUCUAAUAAUCUUACAAAUCGAUAUCCAACUGAUGGAUUCACAAAUAUUCCAUUAACAGAAUCGAACUUCAAACUGCAGAAACCAUAUGACAUACCACUUGAGCAGCGCUACAGCUUCCAAAAUGGAGUUCACCGCUUGUGGGUCUAUGCCGAUGACAAGCCAUAUGACCCCAGUAGUCCUGCCCAGCCCCGCACCGAGAUUCGCAUACUAGGCCUUGACUACUCAUACGGAGUCUGGCAGUUCGAAGGCUAUGGUUUCGUCCCAAACUCAACCUUCGGUGCUACAAUUGUGCAGAUCCAUGGCGCGACCAAUUACACCACAACUAUCAUACUGAGGAUCUACAAUUGGGACAUGAGGUACUACAGUGUUGAUCUUGUGGAUACAGACUUGUAUGAUAAAUGGUUCAGGGUUAACUUAAUCCAUGACGUGGAUAAAAGAAAUCUCACAGUUUUCAUUGAUGGUGUGAAAAAAUUUGAAACAAAAGAUAGAGGUGCAGGUGCUGGAGACUUUUAUUUCAAAUGUGGUGUGUAUGUUGCACUAGCAAAUAUAAGCUAUUACAUGGAGUCAAGGUGGAGAGACAUCAAAAUAUACAAGUCACGUUAGAUAGAGCGGUGUUUGGUUUACAAAAAAAUAAACCAAGAUGGAAGAGCUUAGUCUAUAAAAGGAAAAGGCUUCAGCAAUUCCAAGGGCACCAAAUCCAUCUGCAUCAAGGGCAAGUUCACAAACACAAAGGGAAACUUCAGCAACAAAAGCAACUUCAACAUCAAAGACAACAAUAGCAGUAGGAACAAGGACAACACCAACAGCAACGAGUGCAACAACAACAAAGGCAGCAUCGUCACAAACAUUUGAAGCAUCAAGGGGAGCAACAUCAACACCAACAAUAGCCUAAUUUACAUGGAGAGGGAUGAAUGUUGUGAACUUGUCCUCACUUCAGAAUGCAUCUGCCUCUAAGGAGAAGAACCCAAAGUAGGGGUGUUGUUUAUUUUGAUUAUCAAACACUUUUGACAAUGUGGCAUGUUUUGUCUAUGUAGUUAUGGAUACUGCCAGCAUGUGUGCAUCAUCAUGAACAUGUGGCCACUUUGACUUGGUGGGUACCAACAAUAUAUUUUAUGAAAAUCAUUAUGGCCAUUUGUGUGUUCUUGUGGAUA